rnacentral:lncRNA from 10 species
CUUUUUUCUUUUCUUUUUUUUUUUUUUUUCCCGCAGUAAGUUCUGAAAAUCGCCUCCCAGAGGAGAUAACGCGUUCUCCUCUGUAACCCGUCCUUCCACGUCCCGGUGGUGGGGGGGGGGGUCCCGGUUCUCAUUCUUUCGGGGACCUGCAAGGAGCCCCGCCCGCAGGCUUUGAACCGAUUUCGGCUCCGCGUCCAGGAGCAGGCCCUACGUAGGGCCGGGGGAAUUCAGGUGCGUCUGCGGGGCCCAGGGCACCCAGGGCAGGCGGGGACUGAGACGACUGAGGGUUGAGGGACAAGGAGGUUGGGACUGGGGAGGGGAGACCCGGGACCCGCCCAGAACGCUUUCGUGGGGUUGGAGAGGGCAGGACACAGCCUCUCUGGGCCCGGUAGUAUGCGAAGACACGCAUAACGCAAAAGGAUUCCCGUCCUGGACUUUGGGAAUUAAGGCCCUGAACACAUUGAGCAAAAAGUAGAUCUGUCUGUACAGACGUUUCUUUCCACGUCUUUCAUAGUAAGGACUUUAUUAAAAAGCAGGCACUCGAAUCCUAGCCGGCAAAAAUGAGACGUCAACUAAGCGCCGUUUCAGUCCCAGAGCCAGGUCGUCCAUGGGGGUUUUCAAGCGUUUUCUCGAUGACUGAUUUUUCUAGAAGCGAAUGGAUUUUAUUCUCCCAGGUGUAAAGGCUACCUCCUGCUUCACACCCGGGUAACAUAAAAGACAGCGCUGGGACCGAAACUCGGGUCUCCUGGGUCCUGGUUGGCUGGAGAGAGGGGCAAUGAACGUCCCGAAAAGAAUUCUGUCUUUUCUCAAUAUCUGGGAGGACUCAUAACAGGGUAGAUAAUCAGGAUGGAUGUUUGGCAGGUGGGAAUCUUUGAGACGGUCUGUGCACACAAUUUUAACUCUACUUUUGCCAGUUUGGAGGACAUGAAAUUCCUGAUGAGUGUAUGUUAAAAGGGAAUAGAGAAGGUAAUAUACACAACGUUCUAAAAUAAUUGCUUUUCGUGGAGGCAAAGUGGCUAAGCAGUCCAAAGCGCUGGAUGAAGGCUCUAAUCUCUUGGGGUGUGGAGGUUCUAGCCUGUUUAGCCACAGAAGUCAUGAAACCACUAUGUGGUAUUUGUUAAAUAAUGAGUUUUGAUACUUAAAAUAAAAUGGAAUUAUUGGAGUGAAUUUUGUUUGGUUCUGUUGAAUUUGUUAUUCUUACACACACUAGCCAGAUUCUACUUAUUUGUGGGCGGCAAGCCACCCAGGCACCGAGGCAAGAGACAGAGGACACGAGCUGUUCCAGUAUAAUAAAAUAUAAAACAAGAAUAGUUAUACCAAA